UUUUUUUUUUUUUUCUUUUAACUAAACAUUAACUGAAUGAAGACAGUUAGUCCCUCUUCUUCUGCUUGGGGGGCUUUAGUGAAACAAAUGGACUUCAGAAUACAGAUUGUCAAUAAAGGUGUAUUUUAGGAUUACUCACUUCCUUCCUUUGUUCUUAUGCUGGAUGAAGAUGAAAGUUUUUAACACAGAAAGCUUACAACGAAAGCUUUAUCAAGAAGAUACUGGAGAAAAUACAUUAACGCAAACUACUAGAAUUAAUGAAAUUAAUAAACGCUAGCUGUGGGCAGUAAAAGCAUCAUCACUAAAACAAACAACUUGAAUGUGUUGCAAUUUCAUUUAAACUAGUGAAACCACAGGGGCAGUAGAGAAUUAGCAAAGCAUAAUGCAAAAUGAUAGUUGUAAAUGGAAUGUGCAAAUAUAUAAUCCAGUUGGUUUUUUGCAGCAGCAAAAUAAAAUAUUGUCAGCUUA